GACGAACGCUGGCGGCGUGCUUAACACAUGCAAGUCGAACGGAAAGGCCUUUUCGGAGGUACUCGAGUGGCGAACGGGUGAGUAACACGUGGGUGAUCUGCCCUGCACUCUGGGAUAAGCCUGGGAAACUGGGUCUAAUACCGGAUAGGACCGCACUUUAGUGUGUGUGGUGGAAAGUUUUUUCGGUGUAGGAUGAGCCCGCGGCCUAUCAGCUUGUUGGUGGGGUAAUGGCCUACCAAGGCGGCGACGGGUAGCCGGACUGAGAGGUUGGGCGGCCACAUUGGGACUGAGAUACGGCCCAGCCUCCCACGGGAGGCAGCAGUGGGGAAUGUUGCACAAUGGGGGCAAGCCUGAUGCAGCGACGCCGCGUGGCGGACGACGGCCUUCGGGUUGUAAACUCCUUUCGCCAGGGACGAAGCGUUUUGUGACGGUACCUGGAGAAGAAGCACCGGCUAACUACGUG
rnacentral:rRNA from 1 species